ACCUGAGAUUAUAUUGAUGACCCCAACAAUAGGCCAAUUAUGCUCUGUGUUAUCAUCAGCCUUCUAAUACUAUCUAAUAGCCUAUCCUAUCUGAUCCUAGACAUACUUAUUGAGGUAACCUCUGUGAAUCAGGACUUCAAUCUCAUCCUUGUGCUGUCAGUAUUCUUCAGUGUCAUGACCAUGGUCUCGAUGGAAGCAGCAAUAUUUAUUUCUCUCUUUUCGUCAAUGGUAUCUUCAUGGGAUGAGGC
rnacentral:lncRNA from 1 species